UAAUGACUAUGCUGUGAACACCCAGAGCAAGAUAUAUCCAUGCUGACACAGAAAGGCAGUAAUGAUUAUGCUGUGAACUCCCAGAGCAAGAUAAAUCCAUGCUGACACAGAAAGGCAGUAAUGACUACGCUGUGAACACCCAGAGCACAAUACAUCCAUGCUGACACAGAAAGGCAGUAAUGACUUGGUUGUAAACACCCAGAGCACAAUACAUCAAUGUUGACUCCGAAAUGCAGUAAUGACUUGGUUGUGAACACAGAACACGAUACACCCAUGCUGACACAGAAAGGCAGUAAUUACUUGGCUGUGAACACAGAGCACAAUACAUCCAUGCGGAAACAGAAAGGCAGUCAUGACUAUGCUGUGAACACCCAGAGCACGAUAAAUCCAUGCUGACACAGAAAGACAGUAAAGACUUGGUUGUAAACACCCAGAGCACAAUACAUCCAUGAUGACACAGAAAGGCAGUAAAGACCUUGUUGUAAACACUAAGAGAUCCAUACAUCCAUGGGAUGUGCCACAUCCCGAAUUACGCCCACUAUUGUGAACAAGGUGCUUAAAGUGAACAUGUCUGGUUUUGGUAUGAGGACUUAGCACUCCAAGCCUAAAAGGCCUCGCAUUGAAUUGAUGCAAGAGAAGGCUUUGAACAAUAACAGCAGUUUUGUUGUGUGGUCCAGUACGCCCUUCGACUCUCAACCUGAAGAAAGCAGAACUCAAACUCGGCUCUUAUCAAUAUCAGCAAGGCCAGCAUGUCAUAUCAGCUUCUUGAGCUUCAGAAAUUCAGCACGAAGACAUCUUGCGUCAGACUACCAAGCCUCCUAUCAAUAUCUCCUCCCAUGUUGGCUUCAUCAACACUUUCAACAGAGCCUUGGUGAGUUCGACUUCCGUCUCAGCAUCGAUGUCGCUUAGCAACAAUUGGAUGAUGGGCGUCGACAAAUUAGGCCGGACAAGUCGCUCAAACUGAAACGAUCUGAUCCAACAGGUAGAGCAGGCAUUGCGUGACACGUCCGUUAAUGUGACUGACCUCAUUAUGUUGUUCUCGAAUAAUGUGAACCUUAGGCCUGGAGAGCAGUUUGCGAUUGACGCCAUUCAACAACAGUUGUUGUUGGCAAUUCUCGGGUUUGGGGUGGCGACUUCGGCGUCAGGACUCGCUCCAUCUCUGUCCAUGGCCCAGUCGCAGCAGCAGCAACAAGAAAAAUAAAGCCUGUUCCUACAGGAACCUAUGCAAUCAUAGAUCGGUACCUAGCUGAACAACAGGCUGUAUGGUCAGCUGGUCCCAGACGCCCAGUGACACUUCCUGGCCCAGGACCUUGGGGCAAAUGCUCAACUAUACCUACCCGCAGGGUAGAGCCACUCUGAACCUGGGGCUCCAUACUUUCUUGGCCAGGGGCCAAGUUUACCUUGUCAAUAAGGUACAUGUAGGGACACAUUCCUUGGAUGCCCUAAGGUUUCUCUAUCUGUUCACAAAGGCUUUAUACUCACAAGUUCAAGCCCAGUGAGCGAUGUUCACAUUAUCAAACUCUGCAUAUCAAUAGAAUCCCGGAUAUCAAAGCGUUGAGCUUUUUUUGAAGCAUUUGCACCAGCAACAGUCAUCAUCUCGAGUUACUGGCAUCUCUAUGGCGUGGAACCCUCCGUCUUUGAAUAUCAUAACAGCACAUGAACCAGUGGCAGUCAUCAUCUCAAGAUUCUGGUAUAUCCAUGGUGCAGGACCCUCGGUCUGCAAAGAUCAUGCAGAGCGAACCUCAGAUGCCAUUUGAUGAAAUCAAACCAUUCAAUCAGAAACACAGCCUGUUGCAGCAGUUGUUACCAUAUUGACCCCAGUCAAACCUAAGAAGUCCAUAGAUAAAUACUUUUUUAGAUGUGCUAGUCUUUACGUACCUCCUGGUUUGUUCAGCACUUACUCUGACUCUUUGAAUUUAAUGACGGGUGAAAAUGAAUGACCUUGUUCAGUUCGAAAUGACACAUCACAACAAUUCAAGUGGAAAGCCAGAAAGUCAUGUCAACAGCCACAUUUUGUAUGUGUAACAGCCAAGUUGUUUUCAAAGAAAAACAAUAUUUUACAUUUUAUUUUUUAUUUGACCAAUGUUUCAUGGGAAUUAUGAUGCUGUCAGUCUCUUUAUGUUGAAAGUUUUGGUUAAAAAUAGCAUGUUAAUUUUUUUUUAAAGCACACAUAUUGCAUUUAUAUCCAAUGUCUUUGUCUGUAUAAUGAAUUUUUCACUACAUAUUUUGAUCCUUAUAAUGGUAAAUGUAUGGGAAAAACAAUUUUAUCAAAGAUAUUCUAAGAUUGUCAAGUCUGUUUAAAUGAUGCUGGUAACUUUGACAAAAUUGAAAAAAAGGAGUAUUUUCAUAUUAUAAGAUAUGUUUCAGUUGUCCGUUUUUACCCGUAAUAUAGAUAAGCUAAUUUAAUGAAUUGUUCACAAAGGUUUAUAACUUUUACGCUUCAGCUUUUUCUGUCUUUUAAUCCUUCCGAAAACAAUACUAGUCAAUUUGCUGAUUUGGGUCGGUAUUCGAUCAUGAAUCUUGUUUAGUAGCAUACUAUUUCAUUGGAAUAAUAAUACAUUCUGGGAAAAAUUAUUUAAUCUAACUAAAAUUAUUGAUUCUGUAAAUACCACUUUGUUGAUUUCAAUGGAUAUUGUUUGUAAAAUUAAUAUAGUAUGACUAUUGCGUGUUUGGGAAAGCUUUUAAUGAAACUGAGUAUUAUAAAAAACAAAAAAAACAAAUAAAGAGUUUUAUGAAAAUUGUCAAAACUUAUUAUUGUUAAUUUGUGUUGUUAGAUCAUAGAUGUGUAUGCUCACAAUUGUUAAACUUUGUUUUUGGACACAAUAGUUUAUUAUGCGUAUCCUCUUUAAUAAGUGAGUAACUUAAUCAAGAUUUAUUGAUCACUGUAUAUAUUCUGUAGGUAUAUUUUGCCAUUUAUACAUAAAGCAACUGUAGAACAAUUGUAUUUUAAAUGUAAAUUAUUCUUGUAUUGUUGCCAUUUGUAUAAUAUAAACUAACUGUUUACCUUAGUUUGUAAAAACCUUUGUAAAAAAACAUUUCCUGUGUGAAUGCUCAUAUAUAUAUUAAACUGUUAAAAUAAUGCACAGUACCAGAAAAAAUAGUCAAUUACACAGUAAGGGAAAAUGUUGUUAUAUGCUUACAAUUGUAUAAAAUUGCAAUUGUCUCUAUUUGUAAUAAUAGAGAGCAAUAUUAUUUGCUUAAAAAAUAAAGAUGUCUGCUUUGUAAAUUAAUAAUUGUGUUUACAUCUCAACAUAACACGUAAAUACAUUAAAGUCUAAAAGGAUUUUUUGGAAUAAACACUUAAAUAAAUAUAUGUGCGUGUAUACGCUGAUAAAAAAAAUUUACAUUUCAUUUAGUUUUGUAACAGCGCAUUUGACCUUUCACGUUGACCAUCCCACACUUGCUGUCAGUGCAGUGCCUUCAUUAGGGUCAUUUUUAUGCUCCUGGUAGGGUGGCAUAUAGCAGUUGAACUGUCCGUCAGUAUGUCAGUCUGUCCUUUUGUCCGAAAAAAACUUAAACAUUGGCCAUAACUUUUUGAAUAUUGAAGAUAGCAACUUGAUAUUUGGCAUGCAUGUGCAUCUCAUGAAGCUGCACAUAUUGAGUGGUGAAAGGUGAUGGUCAAGGUCAUCCUUCAAAGUCAAAUGUCAAAUUUAUGGCGUCUGUCCGUCCGUCCAAAACUUUAACAUUGGCCAUAACUUGUUCAAUAUUGAAGAUAGCAACUUGAUAUUUGGCAGCCAUGUGUAUCUCAUGGAGCUACACCUUUUGAGUGGUAAAAGGUCAAGGUCAUCCUUGAAGGUCAAAGGUCAAAAAAAUAAUCAAAGUGGCGUUCCUAUGAAGCUGCACAUUGUUAGUGGUUCAAGGUCAAGGUCAUCAGUCAAGGUCAUCCUUCAAGGUCAAAGGUCAAAAAAAUAAUCCAAAGCGGCGUUCUCAUGAAGCUGCACAUUGUGAGUGGUGUGAGUUCAAGGUCAAGGCCAACCGUCAAGGUCAUCCUUCAAGGUCAAAAGUAAAAAAAAAAUUCAAAGCGGCGUCCUCAUGAAGCUGCACAUUUUGAGUGGUGGACGUUCAAGGUCAAGGUCAUCCUUCAAUGUCAAAGGUAAAAAAAAAAUCAAAGCGGCGCAAUAGGGGG